rnacentral:rRNA from 1 species
GAGACCAAAGAUUUAUCGCCCUGAGAGGAGCCCGCGUCAGAUUAGCUUGUUGGUGGGGUAACGGCCCACCAAGGCGACGAUCUGUAGCUGGUCUGAGAGGAUGAUCAGCCACACUGGGACUGAGACACGGCCCAGACUCCUACGGGAGGCAGCAGUGGGGAAUAUUGGACAAUGGGGGAAACCCUGAUCCAGCAAUUCCGCGUGAGCGAAGAAGGCCUUCGGGUUGUAAAGCUCUUUCGGCAGGGACGAUAAUGACGGUACCUGCAGAAGAAGCCCCGGCUAACUCCGUGCCAGCAGCCGCGGUAAUACGGAGGGGGCUAGCGUUGUUCGGAAUCACUGGGCGUAAAGCGCACGUAGGCGGCUACUCAAGUCAGAGGUGAAAGCCUGGGGCUCAACCUCAGAAUUGCCUUUGAAACUAGGUAGCUUGAAGAUGGG